rnacentral:rRNA from 1 species
ACAUGCAAGUCGAGCGAACAGAUAAGGAGCUUGCUCCUUUGACGUUAGCGGCGGACGGGUGAGUAACACGUGGGUAACCUACCUAUAAGACUGGGAUAACUUCGGGAAACCGGAGCUAAUACCGGAUAACAUUUGGAACCGCAUGGUUCUAAAGUGAAAGAUGGUUUUGCUAUCACUUAUAGAUGGACCCGCGCCGUAUUAGCUAGUUGGUAAGGUAACGGCUUACCAAGGCGACGAUACGUAGCCGACCUGAGAGGGUGAUCGKCCACACUGGAMCUGAGACACGGUCCAGACUCCUACGGGAGGCAGCAGUAGGGAAUCUUCCGCAAUGGGCGAAAGCCUGACGGAGCAACGCCGCGUGAGUGAUGAAGGGUUUCGGCUCGUAAAACUCUGUUAUUAGGGAAGAACAAAUGUGUAAGUAACUGUGCACGUCUUGACGGUACCUAAUCAGAAAGCCACGGCUAACUACGUGCCAGCAGCCGCGGUAAUACGUAGGUGGCAAGCGUUAUCCGGAAUUAUUGGGCGUAAAGCGCGCGUAGGCGGUUUCUUAAGUCUGAUGUGAAAGCCCACGGCUCAACCGUGGAGGGUCAUUGGAAACUGGGAAACUUGAGUGCAGAAGAGGAAAGUGGAAUUCCAUGUGUAGCGGUGAAAUGCGCAGAGAUAUGGAGGAACACCAGUGGCGAAGGCGACUUUCUGGUCUGUAACUGACGCUGAUGUGCGAAAGCGUGGGGAUCAAACAGGAUUAGAUACCCUGGUAGUCCACGCCGUAAACGAUGAGUGCUAAGUGUUAGGGGGUUUCCGCCCCUUAGUGCUGCAGCUAACGCAUUAAGCACUCCGCCUGGGGAGUACGACCGCAAGGUUGAAACUCAAAGGAAUUGACGGGGACCCGCACAAGCGGUGGAGCAUGUGGUUUAAUUCGAAGCAACGCGAAGAACCUUACCAAAUCUUGACAUCCUUUGAAAACUCUAGAGAUAGAGCCUUCCCCUUCAGGGGACAAAGUGACAGGUGGUGCAUGGUUGUCGUCAGCUCGUGUCGUGAGAUGUUGGGUUAAGUCCCGCAACGAGCGCAACCCUUAAGCUUAGUUGCCAUCAUUAAGUUGGGCACUCUAGGUUGACUGCCGGUGACAAACCGGAGGAAGGUGGGGAUGACGUCAAAUCAUCAUGCCCCUUAUGAUUUGGGCUACACACGUGCUACAAUGGACAAUACAAAGGGCAGCUAAACCGCGAGGUCAUGCAAAUCCCAUAAAGUUGUUCUCAGUUCGGAUUGUAGUCUGCAACUCGACUACAUGAAGCUGGAAUCGCUAGUAAUCGUAGAUCAGCAUGCUACGGUGAAUACGUUCCCGGGUCUUGUACACACCGCCCGUCACACCACGAGAGUUUGUAACACCCGAAGCCGGUGGAGUAACCAUUUAUGGAGCUAGCCGUCGAAG